rnacentral:pre_miRNA from 1 species
ACUCUUUCGCUCAGCUUUCGACAUGGUUCUGAACAAUACGCAUUGCAUAUGUUGUUGAGAUCAUUAGUUGAAAGCCGAAUGAUUUGAGA